rnacentral:rRNA from 1 species
GUACACGCUGUGACUAGCAUAUCAAUAAGCGGAGGAAAAGAAACUAACAAGGAUUCCCCUAGUAACGGCGAGUGAAGCGGGAAGAGCUCAAAUUUGAAAUCUUAAAGGGUUUCCCUUUACGAAUUGUAGUUUAAAGAAGUGUUUUCUGUUGAGGUUUUGGUAAAAGUUCUUUGGAAUAGGACAUCAUAGAGGGUGAGAAUCCCGUAUUUGACCCUUACUUUCAACUUUGUGAUACACUUUCAAAGAGUCGGAUUGUUUGGGAAUGCAGUCCAAAAUGGGUGGUAAAUUUCAUCUAAAGCUAAAUAUUGGCGAGAGACCGAUAGCGAACAAGUACCGUGAGGGAAAGAUGAAAAGAACUUUGAAAAGAGAGUUAAACAGUACGUGAAAUUGUCAAAAGGGAAGCGUUUGACACCAGUGUUGUUUUUCUGAAAAUCAAUUAAAGAACUGUUUAUGCUAAGUUGUUUAGACUUUAUCAGCUAACUGUUUAGUUUUGAGCUUUUCUUUAAUGCACUUUUCAGUUAACAAGUCAACAUCAAUUUCUUUUGCUGUAAAAAAGCUUGAGGAAGGUGGCUUGAGAUUCGUCUUAAGUGUUUAUAGCCUCUUGCCUAUGCAGUCGGAGAGAUUGAGGUCUGCAGCGUAGAUCCUUCGGGGCUAAAUGCAUUUGUGCUAAGUUAUAGCAUUUUAUAGACAACUUGUUGACUAUGAUUUGUCUUGUAGCUUACUCGCUUAUGUUAUUUUACCUACGCUUAGGAUGUUGAGUCGUAGAGCACGCAG